rnacentral:lncRNA from 1 species
AAGCCGAGAAGGAGAAAGAGACAGAGCGAGACAAUGGGGACGAGGAAGAAUUGACAAACGAGGAAGAGGAAGAGGAAGAGAAAGAAGAAGAGGACGAAGCUGAAGCCCCCGGCCCUGCCUCAGAAGAGGAAGAGGAAGAGGAAGAGGAAGAGGCUGAAGCCCCAGGCCCAGCCUCAGAAGAGGAAGAGGAAGAGGAAGAAGCUGAAGCCCCAGGCUCAGCCGAAGAGGCAGAGGAAGAACCUGAAGCCCCAGGCCCAGCCGACAAGGAAGAGGAAGAAGCCGAUGCCCCAGGCUCAGCACAAGAGGAAGAAUCUGAAGCCCCAACCCCGAACCCUCAGUAACUGAUUAGCUACUUGAUCACGUGGUGUUAUUAUUUCUUUCAUCAUUCGCUCAUUGCUAGCUGUCUCCAUUUUUACUGUACCUACGUACGUUCUAGCUAGCUCCUUGCAGCACACCAAGUUUAAUCUCAGGAGGAAAAACUUACUGUUUCCUAGAAGUGGAAUAAGCUUAAUUCGGAUCAAUUUAUUUCAUUUAUUCUUAUCAUAUAUAUAUCCUAUAUAUUUGCU